rnacentral:lncRNA from 1 species
CCCGCACUUUGUGAUGGGGACAGCGUGUGCCAGCCUCCAGUUAGCGGCUGUGACAGGCCGCUGUGGAGCGCGAGCCUCAGCUCUCCCCUCCUGAGCUGCAGAGGCGACAAGGAACGCGCACCUCCGUGUCCCUGUGAGAAAACAACCUGGUGGGUGCCUCAAGCCUGCACUGUCCAUGAGAACCGUCAGGGAAUGGAGCAGAGGAGAGCUGGACCAUCGAUGCUUGUAAAAGCUGCUGCUUAACUGGAGCGUGGGAGACCUUAAGGAUUUCUUCCAUUCAGAAGGGGAAAAACAUAAUGCAGAAAUAAAAGCAGGAAUGUAGCAGCA